AAGAGAGCUAUCCAUAGACAGUGAAAAAGAUAAUAACUGUCAUGGAGUUGCUCUCUUUA
rnacentral:pre_miRNA from 1 species